GUGCCUUAAACUAAUGAGUAAGGAAAAUAAAGAGACCUAUUGACGUGGGCUCACCUCCUCAUCAGAAGGAGUAAUUUUUGAACGGGGUAUAGGUUCGUCUGCUGUGAUCUGACUACUUUUCAGAUUGCAGUAAGGCGGGACUGCCCC
rnacentral:snRNA from 1 species